UUCAAAAUUUGAUGACUUAUGAGAAUAGUUGUCUGAAGUAUAUGUUGUAAGUUUAAGCCUCAUCAAAUAGUUGAAUUGAAGGAUAUUAGUUUAGAAUUUGUCUAAGAUUUGUUUUAGGAUUUAGAUUAGGAUCUAGGAUUUGAUUUAGGAUUUAGAAUUUAUUUAGGAUUUGAUUUAAGAUUUGGUUUAGAAUUUAGGAUUUAAUUUAGAAUUUGAUUUGAGAUUUAGGAUUUUUUAGGAUUUGAUUUAAGAUUUUUUUAGGAUUUGAUUUAGAAAUUGAUUUAGGAUCUAAGAUUUGAUCUAGGAUUUGAUUUAGGAUUUAAGAUUUGUCUAAGAUUUGAUUUAGAGCUUGAUUUAGGAUUUAAAAUUUAAUUAGAAUUUGUUUAAAUUCUAUUAGGAUUUCAACUAGAAUUAAAUUAGAAUUUGAUUGAUAUUUAUUUAAGAUAUAUUUGUAAUUAUUUUAAUAUUUUUAAGACUUCUUUAGGAUUCUUUUAAGAUUUAUUAUGGAUUUUCUUUCAAUUCUUUUAAGAUUUCUUAUUGUUUCUUUUAUAAUUUCUUUAAAGUUUUUUUUGAAUUUCAUUAAAGCUUGUUUAGUAUUAUUAAGAUUUAAU
rnacentral:lncRNA from 1 species